AGAAAGGGAACAGAUGGAACGGGCAGGACACUUUCCUAAAGCCUCUCAAUCUUAUCAGAGCAUUCAGACUCCAAGGUUGGCCCUAGGGAGCAGCUGACAUUAGAGGGGGAGUUGAACCUGUGAACUUUUGGCUUAAAAGUAAGAGUUCAACUCUUCCCCCAGUUCUCUCUGGUGUUGCAAUGCUGGCCAAAGCUGGCUGCUGUACUCUGCGUAAGACCGGAAACCCCAAAUUGGGUUUACAUCUCUCUGGCCGAGGUACCUUCCCCAGCUCCACCUCCAGUUGUUCCAUGGGGGUUUGAGGUGUGGAGGAGGAGUCAACGGAGCUUGGUGUCUCUCUGGCUGAGGUUACGAGCCCUUUGACAUCUUAAAAAUCUCAUCCGACCCACAAGACAUCUCAGUGAAAUAGGUGUUAUUACUCGGACUUUUCAGAGGAAGAAUCGGACCUUCAGAAAAGGAACUGAGGUUGUUCACAUCACCUGUGUGUGGAGCUGAGACUGCAACAGAGCCUAUUCUUCUGACUUUAAGAUGAGUGCAUGCCUCCAGCUCCCAAAUGGCCACAAGGGUUGGAGUAAAAGUAAUUCUUGACGUCAAGCUAUUAGCUGAACUGACAUGUUUCUGAGCGGCUGCUCGCCUGAGGACUCACAGAACCACUCUAAGGAAAGGAGGAGUCAAUGCAUUCCUAGACUCACUGAAUCCAGGAAGUGGACAGAACCCUCACAUUCUCUGGCCCACACCUUCAAUAUUCAGAUGGGGGGAAACGCAGCCUACAGAGGAAUAUGGCACAUCCAAAAUCAGGUACUGAGUCAGGAUCAAGGCUGGGACUUCACCCACUUGUCAUUGUCAUCUGCACAGACAUACUCACUUCUGCUGGCUUUUUAGCCACCAGCAAUAUUAUGAGAUCGUAACUACUCUAAAAGCCUCAACGUCACUGUGAGGCAAUGUAACAUUUUCCACCAGCAUGGACAGGGACAGAAGAACCAUGGAUGGAGGGAGGCCAGUAUGCUCCCAUCUCAGCUGUCAUUUUGCAUUUGAUCCCUUCUGUGCCAGCAACUGGAUUUAUUGCUGGUUAGAACAGUGACUCACGGUCCUUUGACGCCAACCAACUAAUUUAUCCUGCUAUGCUUAGUAGGUACAAAUGUUUAGCAUGUGGUCAAAAAUAGAGAUCCCUCACCCUCCACCCCGUCAUCCCGGCCCUUAACUCUUGCUUGAGCUAAGGACUUUCUCAAACCCACGUCAAACUUUUGCCUCAAAUGUAAUUGGCUUUAUUUUAGGUAUCACUGACUUGUAACCCAGUCAUGAAGGCUAGCAAAAUAUAAAAGGCAAGACUCUCACCUAGGAGUUCCCUGCCCCAAGUCUAUCCUCACUUCUUUUUUAAAACUGAUUUGUCACCUUUGGCAACUCAUUUCUUCUCUCUGAGCCACAUUAUCCCCAAAUGAGAGGGUUAAAUUGGGUGAGUUUUGGUGGAUUGUCUAUUUUAAGGAGGUUCUUAUAAGAUUAUGCUUUUAUCAGAGGCAUCUUGCUACAUCUCAGGUUUUCUCUAUCAUCCUGAUAUGCUUUGGGGAUGAGGCUCUGUUCUCAAUGGAGUUCUGCUCUAUUUCUAAAAUGAUGAGGAGCUCCUUGAAAGCUAAGAACGAUGUCAGUUUAACCUGGGUGAAAUUAACUUCAGGAUUAGCAAUGGGGGCACAACAAACUUCAGAACUUGACAUGAUUUAAGUUUUCUCUCUUGCAUUACAGUAUUUCUUUUGAAACCUACUUCCCAGGCCAAAUGGACAGGGCACCCACUGUAAGCAUCUAAGAAGUGAAAAUGAAUUCAGAGGAAAACCCUACAGGGCUAAAAAUAAAUGAGGUGUUUUAUUUUAAAAGUC